ACCCUUCUGCAUAAAAAGAAGUCUGCUAUAAUUGUGUGAUUCAUCAUCUGUUUCAUGCAAUAAUGCUAGCAGACUAUGGCGCAGAAGGAGAUUAUGACUCGCUGCACUGAAAAUGAGACUUUGUCGAACCGCUUUCUUAAUGUUCAUUGGCUUGUCUCAAGGUGCAGCGCAACAAUU